UCCUGUCAAAAAAAAAAAAAGACACCACCCCCAAGACUCCCACAACAAAUCUCCGGUAGCUUAACAACACCCAUUUCCCAUAUCAUCCAUCCAUCACCAGGCAGCAGCAAUGGACUCCGACUCACCACAACCCGAACCCACACCAGUCCCACCCUCCACCGAUCCAUUAACCAACCAAUUCACCUCCCUCAACGACCUAGCCCACGAACUGACCUCUCUCCAAGACCUAGCCAACCGCGGCUCCUGGCUAUCAAUACUCGACAAAGUCAAUCGAGCUCGAUCUCUCUCUCUCUUAAAUACCCCACACGAUCACCUCACUUACCUCGCUUACAUCGUUCUCUCUUUCACUAAACUACGCCGUUUCCAAGAAGCCCAGACAGAACUCGAUUCCCUCGACGAUUUUAACAGUCACCAUUACCGCUACGAAACUUACCCUAAAAUUUACCCUAACCGGUCCGGUUCGAUGGUCCCUUUCUCUCUCCGGUGGCUGCAUGCGCUGCUCCCUAUUAAAUUAGGCAAUCGUCAAGAAGGUUUAGAUCGGUUUUAUUUGUUACUUGAUUUUGUACGUGAAAAACUGAAUCGCAACGGAAACGAUGAGUCAGUCAAAGUUUGGAGGAAGAGAGAGGUUUUUGUUGUUAAUCAUAUAAUUAAUCAGCAUUUGAGUAAUAAGGAGUUAAGUGUUUGUUUGGAUUUGAUUAAUGCUUUAAUCUCUCGCGGGAAUUUAGAUCCUGCUUUGUUGUCGAAAUUAGGGUAUGUGCAGAUGCAAAUUGGGGAUUUGGAUGGGGCAAAUGUGUCAUUUGGUAAGGUAGAGAAAAUGUCUAGUGAGAGUGAAGAGAAUGAGUCUGGGUUAAGGAAUUUGGUUAGUAGGAAUAAGGCAUUGGUGUAUUUGGUGGGGAAGGAUUAUUUGUCGGCGGUGAGGGAAUAUGAUGAGUGUAUUGAGAGGGAUGGAAUGGAUGUUGUGGCGAUUAAUAAUAAGGCGAUCUGUUUGAUGUAUUUGAGGGAUUUGUCGGAUUCGAUUAAGGUUUUGGAGAAUUCUCUGGAAAGAGUGCCCACCGUAGCAUUGAAUGAGACGCUUGUUGUUAAUCUGUGUAGCAUGUAUGAGUUGGCUUAUGUUAAUCAUUCGGAUACUAAGCGGACACUUAGUAAUUGGAUUGCUCGAGUUGCUCCAGAUGAUUUUGAUUCUUCUUGUACCCGGGUUUGAGAGGAUCAGAGUUCAUGAAUAAAUUAUUUAGCAAUUAUGCUUAAACGUUGUGUGAUGCAAUCUUGGGUGUGACUCCUAUGAACAUCUUGUGAUCUUAGGAUCUUCUUCUUGGAGUAAUCCCUAGAAACCUACUGCUAUGAUAUUGGACAUAAACCCAGCUUGAAUUGUCAAAUUGUGUAAACUUAGAACUUUGGCUUAUGAUCUACUUUUGUAUGCCUGGCCUUUUACUCCACACAGUGGGAAGCUCAGAGGACAAGCUGUCAUAGUGCUUCAAGCUUGCAAGGAAUGAAGUUGGAGCCAUGCUGGUGAGUCAUUUUUAGGCUAGUGUACUUGCUAAGAACAAAUAAAAAACUGAGAAUGAGGUUUUACACAUCCAAUGGUUUUGAUGCUUUUCUAUGUGAGAUGCAACACCACUUUAAGAUUGUAUAAUCUUGAUCUUCCUCAUCCUGAUGUAUGAUUGGCAAAGUAAUACACCUGUAAGGAGACAGUGAGAUUUGCAGGACCUUAGUGCAUAAUAAGUCAACAAGAGAGCACCAAAAUUAUAUUUUGGUUGAUUCA